AUUGAACGCUGGCGGCAGGCCUAACACAUGCAAGUCGAACGAGUGGCGGACGGGUGAGUAAUGUCUGGGAAACUGCCCGUUGGAGUGGGAUAACUACUGGAAAAGGUAGCUAAUACCGCAUACCAUCUGAUGUGCCCAGAUGGGAUUAGCUCGUGGGUGGGGUAAUGGCUCACCUAGGCGACGAUCCCUAUCUGGUCUGAGAGGAUGACCAGCCAAACUGGAACGGAGACACGGUCCAGACUCCUACGGGAGGCAGCAGUGGGGAAUAUUGCACAAUGGGCGCAAGCCUGAGGCAGCCAUGCCGCGUGUGUGAAGAAGGCCUUCGGGUUGUAAAGUACUUUCAGCGAGGAGGCGUUACUCGCAGAAGAAGCACCGGCUAACUCCGUGCCAGCAGCCGCGGUAAUUC
rnacentral:rRNA from 1 species